rnacentral:rRNA from 1 species
AUGCAAGUCGAACGAAGCACUUUAUUUGAUUUCCUUCGGGAUUGAUUAUUUUGUGACUGAGUGGCGGACGGGUGAGUAACGCGUGGGUAACCUGCCUUGUACAGGGGGAUAACAGUUGGAAACGGCUGCUAAUACCGCAUAAGCGCACAGCAUCGCAUGAUGCAGUGUGAAAAACUCCGGUGGUAUAAGAUGGACCCGCGUUGGAUUAGCUAGUUGGUGAGGUAACGGCCCACCAAGGCGACGAUCCAUAGCCGACCUGAGAGGGUGACCGGCCACAUUGGGACUGAGACACGGCCCAAACUCCUACGGGAGGCAGCAGUGGGGAAUAUUGCACAAUGGGCGAAAGCCUGAUGCAGCGACGCCGCGUGAGCGAAGAAGUAUUUCGGUAUGUAAAGCUCUAUCAGCAGGGAAGAUAAUGACGGUACCUGACUAAGAAGCACCGGCUAAAUACGUGCCAGCAGCCGCGGUAAUACGUAUGGUGCAAGCGUUAUCCGGAUUUACUGGGUGUAAAGGGAGCGCAGGCGGUGCGGCAAGUCUGAUGUGAAAGCCCGGGGCUCAACCCCGGUACUGCAUUGGAAACUGUCGUACUAGAGUGUCGGAAGGGUAAGCGGAAUUCCUAGUGUAGCGGUGAAAUGCGUAGAUAUUAGGAGGAACACCAGUGGCGAAGG